AUUGAAUAAAUAUUUUAUUGAGGCACAUCAUGCGGUCCAGUGCAUAGAAAUCAAACGGAAGCACCGCUGCUCAUGUUCUUUACCAUGAGUUUAUGUCAGGAGCGUGAAGUGAUCCGGGACAGACGCGGCCUCCGGCGUCAGUGGGUUACACCGCACAUCCACACUCUUCAGAGCAGGCAUCAGAGACAGCUUCUCCAUCGGCAGCUCUGAGAGAGAGAGAGACACAGAGAGAGAGAGAGAGAGAGAGAGACAUCAGACCUGUGCAGCAUCGGCCCUUCAGAAUGGAAGUGGGCAGAGCCUAAUCAAUCAAGUGACCAGAGACACGCCCACAACACUGUGCCUCUCAAAACAAGCCAGAACGCUUGCUGCUCAGAAGUAAUCAAGUGCUGAUUGUAAGUAAACGAGAUGGUGUGGUUUCCGCACCCAGAGAGUCUCUCUGCUCCUCCACGGUGGCGUUGAUCCUCCGGGCGACGUUGGCCA